AGGGUUUGCCUUGUCACCAUUUCCGCGCCGGAAGGAUGGAUGAUCCAACUGAAAUUCACCACCUUCAAUUUGGAGACGGACAAAGCCAUUGUUGUUGUUGACGAUGGUCGGAAUGACUUAUUGCCUCCAACAACCGGCGACACAAUUCCUGCCCUAGUGCCCACAACAACCGACUCGAUGGUCAUCGCGGCUUUGGAUGCGCUGACAGUUCUAAACCCAGCACGGCCAUAUACAACUGGCAGGCGACUUUCUCUGUCUCGAGCCAAGGGAGUUCUUGUUCCGUUCUUGAUCCAGCCUGCGGAUCUAUGUGCACCAAUGUGACGUCAAACGGAACUGGUGUCGUCCAGUCUCCCAACUUCCCUGGCGACUACGGGAAUGAUAACAGGGAUUGUACAGUCACCAUUGUCGUGCCAGCAGGAAAGAGAAUCCAGUUGACAUUCACUACUGUCAAUUUGGCGAGUGGUGACCGUAUCGCUGUUUACGACAGAAGCACAAUUCUAUCGCCCUUUUUAUCCGGCAACGAAAUUCCUGCAGUAGACGUCUCAACCGCAAACAUCAUGUAUCUGCAGUUUGUUGCCGAUGGCAGUACUAAACCCACCACCGCAACUUACAAUUGGCGGGCGACUUACACUGCUGUGUGACGGGUGAUGCAACGAAAACAACAACGACGAGAAAAUAAAUGGCUUUGCUUCUCGUUUGAUCGACGCGAAUCUAAAGUCAUAAUUCAACCAACUAUUUACAGAUUAUUAACAAACUUCCUUCAACUGUAGUCACAACACUAAUCAGCAUAAUUCCGUUAUCGACACUCGCUGUGCUUUAUUAACACAUAGCGAAGUGAUUUCAAAUAUUUUUCAACUGUUUUAUUAUCAAUUGGCAAAAAUUU